AACGUAGGAGGCGAACGUUAUCCGGAUUUACUGGGCGUAAAGCGCAUGCAGGCGGUUUCUUAAGUCGGACGUGAAAGCUCCUGGCUCAACUGGGAGAGGUCGUUCGAAACUGAGGAACUUGAGGAUGGUAGAGGAGAGUGGAAUUCCCGGUGUAGUGGUGAAAUGCGUAGAUAUCGGGAGGAACACCAGUGGCGAAGGCGGCUCUCUGGGCCAUUCCUGACGCUAAGAUGCGAAAGCUAGGGGAGAGAACGGG
rnacentral:misc_RNA from 1 species